rnacentral:misc_RNA from 1 species
CGCUCAUUCACAAUAGAAAGAAUGAGCAACUCUGUUAUGGUAUAAAUUACAACCCUGUGGAAUGCUUCGGUAAAAUUUUCCGCUAAUAUCGUGCAAUGCGUCAUUCCACUUUUGGACGAGGUUAGAAAACCAGUGAGCUUUGCUUUUCAUCAUCAAGAUCCUACAGCAGGCAGCAGAAAGGACGUAUUCGCGGAGUAUAAGCAGAUUAAGAAAACAUUCUUAACAAAUUCAAGUGGAAUAAAUAACUCCGGUAGCUUCUACAGGUAUUUUCACAAGUCGAGCGAAAAUUUAGUAGAAGGAGAAGCGUCGCCUGCAGAAAAGCAAAACUUUUCGGUAAAAUCCAGCAAUAGACACUCGUUUACAAAUUCAUCUUUGUAUAUAGAUCCAGACGAAAUGGCACCUCAUGAUAGGAACUUUGGCGGUCGUGGUGCACGUGGUGGAGAUGAUCGUCAUGCCAGACAGGGAGGUGGUGGCAUGCGCAAUGGAGGCGCUGGCGGUGGUGGAGGUGAUUUCCACGGUGUGCGAAACGGUCGUGUUGACAAGAAUCGCGGAGGUGGUGGUGGCGGACGUGGAGGUAGCGGAGGCUAUGGUGGCGGAAGUGGUUUCGGUGGUGGAUAUGGAGGAGGCAAUCGUGGGGGUACCCAAGAUCUUACCCUCGGAAAUGUCGACUUUUCAAAUCUCACACCAUUCAAGAAGAAUUUUUAUGAGGAACACCCCAUUGUUGCGAACCGUUCCCCAUAUGAAGUACAACGUUAUAGGGACGAACAUGAAAUUACCAUCCGUGGAAAUGCCCCUAACCCAAUUCAAGACUUCAGCGAAGCUUAUUUUCCUGACUAUGUAAUGAAGGAAGUACGUCGUCAGGGUUAUAAGGCGCCAACAGCUAUUCAGGCACAAGGUUGGCCAAUUGCUAUGAGUGGUUCCAAUUUUGUCGGUAUUGCACAAACUGGAUCCGGCAAAACCCUAGGGUACAUCUUACCAGCGAUCGUACAUAUUAACAACCAGAAACCAUUAGAGCGUGGAGAUGGGCCCAUAGCUUUGGUCUUGGCGCCCACACGAGAAUUGGCACAACAGAUUCAACAAGUUGCCACUGAAUUUGGCUCUGCAUCGUACGUCCGAAACACAUGCGUUUUUGGUGGGGCUCCAAAAGGAGGUCAAAUGCGCGACUUGCAGCGUGGCUGUGAAAUCGUCAUCGCCACCCCAGGUCGUUUAAUUGAUUUUCUUGCAAUGAAUGCCACCAACUUGAAGCGUUGUACAUAUUUGGUAUUGGAUGAGGCUGAUCGUAUGUUAGAUAUGGGUUUUGAGCCCCAAAUACGCAAGAUUCUGUCACAGAUUCGCCCCGAUCGCCAGACACUUAUGUGGUCUGCCACUUGGCCUAAAGAAGUUAAGCAGUUGGCUGAAGAUUUUCUCGGCAACUACAUUCAAAUAAACAUCGGUUCUCUGGAAUUAUCGGCAAAUCACAAUAUCCGCCAAGUCGUUGACGUUUGUGAAGAACAUGACAAGGAAGACAAAUUAAAGUCUUUGCUUUCGGAAAUUUAUGAUACCAGCGAAAACCCAGGCAAGAUCAUAAUCUUUGUGGAGACCAAACGUCGCGUGGACAACUUAGUUCGCUUCAUUCGUAGCUUCGGUGUGCGCUGUGGCGCCAUUCACGGUGACAAGUCACAGUCGGAACGUGAUUACGUCUUACGUGAAUUCCGAUCUGGAAAGUCGAACAUUCUGGUAGCAACUGAUGUCGCUGCGCGUGGUUUGGAGGCCGAUUAUUGUAGUAUGGUGGGGAUAAAAUGAUCAUCUUUUGAAAUGACGCAAUUCACUAGGAUUGCGUUGAUAAGUGAACUCUUGAAUUUUUUCGCAAAAGUAUCCGCCGAAAAGCUCUUUGAACGGAGCGUUUCUAUAAAAGCUGAAUGAAAUGUGCGACUGUGGCGGCAGCACUUUGUCUAUACAUUCCGAUGCAAAAGAGGGAUGUCGUCGAACCACCUGCUGCCACACGUUUGCACGCAUCGUUAUUGCACAUUUGAGGAGAGAUAUAAUACGCAACAGCAGAUGGAUACGCUUAUAUAACACGUACAACCUGUGCGAAAAAGCGUUUCAGUGCAACUUAGCGUAUACACAAAUAAAUACUCCAGACUACAAAAAAAUAAAAGGCAGAAACAAUCGUCAUUAACACGCGAAACGUAUGUCGCGUCGUCGUGUAAUUUUUUAUUUAUUUUGUGUUUUGUAUAAAAAUUGCCUUACAAGAAAAAAUAAAACAUGGGUUUCCUCCUAAUUCGGCAAUGUGCAUAAAGAGUUCUGCGGUACACAAUAUCCCUAUCAUCAUGCAGCAAAUGUGGCCUCUGCUAUCUUUUAUUUAAAGUGAUAGUAUUUUUCGAAACUAAACAGUACCAAUUUCGAAAAUGGAAAAUAAAUAUAGGAAUUUUGACAGUAUUAAACAAACGCCAAUCGAAAGGGCAGAUUAUAUAAAUCCAAUAAAUUCUUUCGUUAGUACUUUAUGUGAAUUUUUUUGGCUGAUACGUUUUAAGGAGUCGCGUUAAAUCACACGCAGGCAAUUAAGAGAAACUUCAUACAACUAAAUGCAUGUCCAUCCUACAAUCGCUAUAAUUAUCGCAUGUGUUCUUUGGCUGAAUCGUAUCGACAUUGUAAAAAUUAAUUAUAUUCUCGCAAGGAACAGGGUCAUUGCGCGUAAAAAAAAAGAAAAACAUUUACGAUUAAAUUUUAAAUAUUUAAAGUGAUCCGAUAUCAUUUUUGCUGGCAAUUUUUGAUCCUGUUCAACGCGUAUUCGCGGUAAAAAGAUCGGUUGUUGUAACGUGGCACGGCAUCGAAAAUGUUUUGCCUUACUCAUUCGAUAUAAGGAAAGGUUGUAUCAAACGAGCUGGUGGCGACCUUCUUUUGGACAAUAAACAAAUGUUGAGAAGCUGUUGCUGUUGUUCUAACCCUACCAUGGACAUCACAGAACACCAGUUCAUCAUUUGCUGCACGUCCAGAAAAAAGCGUCGUCGUCGUCUACGGAUUCUUGAACAACACAUUCACAUUCCAUGAAAUGCCGAAAGUUCGUGAAAGGCAAAACGUAGCUUAGAAAGUGCCACAAACGCUUCGCAAUACCGCCGACAAAGGACACAUUUGCAACGUGGAUUUGUUUGUAUAAAAAUUGGAGGAUAUGCAUAUUAAUAUAAUGGUGAAGUGUGGAGAAAUCGACGGACAUUUACUGGCCGUCAUAGUUAAAUGAAGAAAACUACUCUUUGUCAACAUGCCUGCGGUAGUGGUUUUACCUGAACAUUGGGUGAUGGAUGCACGACGUCGGCGAGCGGCGCACAAACUCUACCACCAAAUAGUUGGAUGUGCGCUGAACUCCACUCGAGACGCAUUUAACUCGAAACUCGUGCGGAAUCGAGCUGCAUCGUUCGUCCAUCCUGUGUCCAAUUAAUGUUGAUUGAGAGAAAAAGGGAGACAGAUUAGAGGGAAAAUGCCCUAACUAUAUUUAAAGUUUUACCACAUGCUCUUCCACUCGUUUCGCUGAACGGGACGAGAGAAGAGUGUGAAUAUAAAUCGACUAUUUGAAGAUGUGGACGGUAUCAAAUAUGUGAUUAACUUCGAUUACCCACAAUCGUCGGAGGAUUAUAUUCAUAGAAUCGGACGUACAGGACGUUCCAACACAAAAGGCACUUCAUAUGCAUUCUUCACCAAAAAUAAUGCCAAACAGUCAAGAGCGCUGGUUGAUGUUUUACGAGAGGCUAAUCAGGAAAUUAAUCCUGCGCUAGAAGGUAUGGCGCGUAGUAACCGUGGAUUUGAUGGCGGCCGUUCCCGUUAUGGUGGUGGUGGCGGCAACUCGCGCUUCAAUGGCACCUUCCGAAAGGGUGCUAUCGGAGGCGGCGGUAAUGGCGGUGGCCGCGGCUACGGUGGCGGUUAUGGCGGCAACAGCGGCGGAGGAUUUGCCGGCGGUCGCAGCAACGGUUACAGCAAUAACAAUGGCAACAGCGGCGAAAACAGUUACGGUAACCGCAACGCAGCCAGCAGUAGUAGUGGCGGCGGCAGACAGCAUACGCGUUUUGAUUAAAUUUACAAAUAAUGCUAGGUUAUAAGUUAUUAAUAUUAAUUUCUCAUUUAAAUGCAGUUUUACUUAAAUAUAACUACUAAUAUUAAACCAAAAGCCAAUUCUACAAUCACGUGGAAGUGCUUGUUGUGUUGGAUUUUCUGGUUUGAACAGAAAUUACGCUAAACCUAGCAAAUAAUUAAUAGUGAGAUUUAAGUCAGUUUACGUUUUAAAUGUUUUACAAAUCUAAAUCUGCAUUUCUUUCAAUUACAAAAAAAAAGAAACAAGUUAAAUUACUUGAAAUCAAAAGUGCACGCUUUCGGGAGAGUCGUGAAAGAAAGACAAGAAAACUUCAAUCUUUGAAAAUUUUGAAAUUUUUUGUUUGCUACGUGCAUCAAUUAAUUGAGCGUGUGCUUUUGCAAAAGGAAUUUGUGAUCAAAAAAACUUAUUUAUAUUUAUACUAAUUUUGCCCUGUAUAAAACGCGUAUUUGCACUCUAAAUGUAGCCUAAAUAUCGUCACACAUAGCGUCUAUUGUAUGUGUAGUCCUAAGUUAGUUUCAUCUAUCCAUGCGCCCAACAAUGCGACUGGCACAAACUAUCAGUAUCUCUUUAAUACAAUAACAACAGCACAUUUCUAUAAUCUGUGCGCCCAGACUUCAAAUGACAUUUACUAGAAAAUGUAAAAAAAUAAAUGCAGGAAAAAAUAAUGAAACAAGUUCUCAUAAUCAAAUGAGGCUUAAGUGAAUUUAAAAUGAUUUAAAACAAUACAUAUACUUUGAAGAAAAAUAACAAAAUAAAUACAAUAAAAAUUGGUGU